rnacentral:rRNA from 1 species
GAUGAACGCUAGCUACAGGCUUAACACAUGCAAGUCGAGGGGCAGCAUGAACUUAGCUUGCUAAGUUUGAUGGCGACCGGCGCACGGGUGAGUAACACGUAUCCAACCUUCCGUUUACUCAGGGAUAGCCUUUCGAAAGAAAGAUUAAUACCUGAUAGUAUGGUGAGAUUGCAUGAUAGCACCAUUAAAGAUUUAUUGGUAAACGAUGGGGAUGCGUUCCAUUAGGUAGUAGGCGGGGUAACGGCCCACCUAGCCGACGAUGGAUAGGGGUUCUGAGAGGAAGGUCCCCCACAUUGGAACUGAGACACGGUCCAAACUCCUACGGGAGGCAGCAGUGAGGAAUAUUGGUCAAUGGACGAGAGUCUGAACCAGCCAAGUAGCGUGAAGGAUGAAGGUCCUACGGAUUGUAAACUCUUUAUAAGGGAAUAAACCCUCCCACGUGUGGGAGCUUGUAUGUACCUUAUGAAUAAGCAUCGGCUAACUCCGUG